CUCCGCUUCACGCACCCUCCGGUAACGAAAAGUAUUUAGUAAUAGCCUUUUGCUGCAACUUUUUUCCUGAUAAUCCUUCUUCUUCUGAACUUUCUUUUUCUUUCUGACUAGAGUUCCUGGGCUCUUAUCAACACAUGCCCUAACUAUUCUUGGUUCCACUGGGGUGCCUUCUUCCCUUAGUAAUUUACUUUUCACCCCUUCCAUAUUUUCAUCACAAAGACAAUACAAUACACUGAGACAAAACAAGACACAAACAUACUGUAUCAAUCUUCUCCAUUUUCUCGAAAUGGUCAUUUUUUCCUCUCGCCCUAUCUGCCUAGGGACGAGCAGAUUUGCUCCCGUCCUAUCUAUGGACGGGCAGCAUUUUUCGUCACUUACCCCCGAGUGUCCCGGGGCUCCCCGUAACGGGCCACCAUCU
rnacentral:lncRNA from 1 species